UACGUAGGGGGCAAGCGUUGUCCGGAUUUAUUGGGCGUAAAGAGCGUGUAGGCGGCUUGGUAGGUCUGCUGUGAAAACUCGGGGCUCAACCCCGAGACGUCGGUGGAAACCACCUGGCUAGAGUCCGGAAGAGGAGAGUGGAAUUCCUGGUGUAGCGGUGAAAUGCGCAGAUAUCAGGAAGAAUAUCCGUGGCGAAGGCGGCUCUCUGGGACGGUACUGACGCUGAGACGCGAAAAGCGUGGGGAGCGAACAGG
rnacentral:rRNA from 1 species